rnacentral:rRNA from 1 species
CGAUUCUGGCUCAGGAUGAGCGCUAGCUACAGGCUUAACACAUGCAAGUCGAGGGGCAGCAUGUUGGUGCUGCAACCAAUGAUGGCGACCGGCGCACGGGUGAGUAACGCGUAUCCAACCUUCCCCUUAGUAGGGCAUAGCCCGGCGAAAGUCGGAUUAAUACCCUAUGUUCUUCGUAGAUGACAUCUGAAAUGAAGCAAAGGUUUACCGCUAAGGGAUGGGGAUGCGUCUGAUUAGGCAGUCGGCGGGGUAACGGCCCACCGAGCCGACGAUCAGUAGGGGUUCUGAGAGGAAGGUCCCCCACAUUGGAACUGAGACACGGUCCAAACUCCUACGGGAGGCAGCAGUGAGGAAUAUUGGUCAAUGGGCGAGAGCCUGAACCAGCCAAGUAGCGUGCAGGAAGACGGCCCUAUGGGUUGUAAACUGCUUUUAUGCGGGGAUAAAGUGCGCCACGUGUGGCGUUUUGUAGGUACCGCAUGAAUAAGGACCGGCUAAUUCCGUGCCAGCCGCCGC